AACAAGCCCCAACAAUACUUCCCUUUCAUAUUGACCUUCUCCCCUCUUGCUGUUGCUGAAAAACUCCUCUGGUUUUCUUUUCUUGGUCUCUCUUCUUUUUAAAUUGGCUGCAUUCAUCAGUUCUCAGAAACCCCAAAAGGUUUUGGGGGACUCUGCGCUGAAAAAGUCAGGCUUCCACUUUCUUCCUUGGGCUAUAGUGCUGUGACCUUUACUCCUUCCCAGCAGUUUCACUGGCUUCUAAGCCAGCUCACACAGGUCUGUUUCAGGAGGAGGGAGAAAUGAAGAAUAAACAUGGGGGCCAAGCUGAGAAUAUAAAUGCCUGUCCGAGAGAUGUUGUCUUGCAAAUGAGAACGUCUGACACUGAUAACGAAGUCAGCUGUAAUAGUUCAGGGAAGAUCCUGAAGUCAAAGAAGCCUGUCUGAAGGAAGAUAGUGUGCAAUUUAAAUAAUGCAGAAAUAGUAUCUUUAAGAUCCACUAGACAUGGAGAGACAUCAAAAUUGAAGACAGUGUUCUCUGGCUGUGCAAGCCACGGACCAUCUGGGACCAGCUGUGCUUAUUGUUGACCUAGUAGGAAUAAAUGGAAGACAAAUAAGAGUGCAACUGCCUGUGAUUAUAUUUGCUGCCCUUGUGACUACUACUGAACUGUCUUUAAAUUAGUUUGUUUCGGCUUGGGGCCUAAUCCUGCCAAGCACAUUUUUAGCAUGUGAUCAUGUGCCAUCAGUGGGAAUAAACUAAAAUAAACAGAA